UCGCUUCAGCAGCAUAUAUACUAAAAUUACAAUGAUACAGAGAUUAGCACAACCCCUGCACAAGGAUGACAUGAAAUUUGUUAAGUGUUCCAUAUUUUU
rnacentral:snRNA from 1 species